rnacentral:rRNA from 1 species
GGACCCGCACAAGUAGUGGAGCAUGUGGUUUAAUUCGAAGAUACGCGCAGAACCUUACCAACACUUGACAUGUUCGUCGCGACUUUAAGAGAUUAAAGUUUUCGGUUCGGCCGGACGAAACACAGGUGCUGCAUGGCUGUCGUCAGCUCGUGUCGUGAGAUGUUGGGUUAAGUCCCGCAACGAGCGCAACCCUCACUUUUAGUUGCCAUCAUUAAGUUGGGCACUCUGAAAGAACUGCCAGUGAUAAGCUGGAGGAAGGUGGGGAUGACGUCAAGUCCUCAUGGCCCUUACGUGUUGGGCUACACACGUGCUACAAUGGUAUCUACAACAGGAAGCAAGACGGCGACGUUAAGCAAAUCCCAAAAAUCGUUCCCUAGUUCGGAUUGCAGGCUGCAACUCGCCUGCAUG